rnacentral:rRNA from 1 species
GACGAACCGUGCAAACGUUAUUCGGAUUCACUGGGCUUAAAGGGCGCGUAGGCGGGCCAUCCAGUCAGGGGUGAAAUCUUUCGGCUCAACCGGAAAAGUGCCUUUGAUACUGAUGGCCUCGAGGGAGGUAGGGGCAUGCGGAACUUCCGGUGGAGCGGUGAAAUGCGUAGAUAUCAGGAGGAACACCGGUGGUGUAGACGGCUCACUGGACCGUAACUGACGCUGAGACACGAAAGCGUGGGUAGCAAACAGG